rnacentral:rRNA from 1 species
GAAUUUAAUUCAUACGUCUUGUUUUAGGUUUAUGCUGUUGUUUAUUUUGUCUUUAUUGGGCGUUAAGAUUAAGGGGGAUUAGCUCCUUAUUUUGUUUUUAUAAUUUUUGUUAGGUAUUUAGUUUUGUGGAUUUUAUAUUGAUUUUCGAUUUGAUUAUGUUGAAAUUUUAUUUAUUUCUUUUGUUAUUUUAGUUUGUUUAAUUGUUUAUUGGAAUGUUUUCUUUAUUUUUUAUUGGAUUGUAAUUAUUGUGGAAUUAGUAAAUUUGUUUGUUGUGUUGUUUGUAUUUUAUGUUUAAUUUCUUCUGAGGAAUUAGGCAAAGUUUUGUGUCCGCCUGUUUAACAAAAACAUCUUUUCUUGUUAGUUUUUGAAGUAUGGCCUGCCCGCUGACGUUUGUGUUGAAGGGCCGCGGUAUUUUGACCGUGCAAAGGUAGCAUAAUCAUUAGUUCUUUAAUUGUGAUCUGGAAUGAAUGGCUUGACGAGGCACUAGCUGUCUUAGUGUUGAAUAUUUUAUUGAAUUUGGUCUUUGAGUUAAAAUUCUUAAAUGUUUUUAUGGGACGAGAAGACCCUAUAGAGUUUAACAUUUUGUUUAUUUGCUUGUUUGUUGUUUGUUUGUUUUUGGUAAGUAGGCUUUUUGUUUUGUUGGGGUGAUGAGAGGAAUGUGUUUAACUCCUCUUGGUUUUGGUUAUAUUGAUUUAUAUUUAUUUGAUCCA